GGUUGUGAGUCUCCAGGAACUCCUGUUUAAAGCUUUUGUCUGUGGAGAAUCAAGCAAACACCAGCGCUCAAGAGAUGGAGAGACAGAUGGACGGACAGACAGACUUGGAUAGAUCUUAAAAUCGUAUUUUUCAACCUGGAAGUAAAAUGACUGGAAGUGAAUGACACCGGAAGCUGCUCUUACUUCACUUCAGCUUAAAGUUAAAAGUCCUGCUUAUAAUUAAAUACAGAAGUACAUUUGAAGACCGCUGACCCACCUGCCAUAGCUGCCAAAGUAUAAGCUGUAAAAAACAAAGAUAAUUGUUAAUAUUCAUAAUAAUUAAAAUAUAUAUAUUAUAUAUAUAA